CCAACUUAAAAAUUAUUAUGCAUUUUAAGACUGCUGUUAUUCUCUGUGCCGUGUAUUUCAUUGUAUCAGUAUGGAGCACGGGACUAAAUAUGGACCAAAUACAAAAAUGUAUUGAUAUGUAUGAUUAUCCCAAUCCUGACACUCGGAGAAUCCCAAAAGUUAUGAAAGACGAUUUUGGAGUUAAAACACCAGAAAGAUAUUAUAAACGCCACCCAAGUUCCAAUGCUGACGACUUUUGAAGUAGAGUAUUACCUCAAUAAGUUCAUUAAACACCUUGAACGUUAUGGGCAAUUUAGAUACCUUAUAAAUG